rnacentral:sRNA from 1 species
GCCAGGUGUGGUGGUGUGCACCUGUAAUCCCAGCUAUUGGGGAGGCUGAGGCAGGAGAAUUGCUUGAACCCAGGAGGUGGAGGUUGCAGUGAGCCGAGAUUGUGCCACUGCACUCCAGCCUGGGCUACAGAGCGAGACUCUGUCUCAA